rnacentral:rRNA from 1 species
UACGUAGGGAGCAAGCGUUGUCCGGAAUCAUUGGGCGUAAAGCGCGCGUAGGCGGCCCUGUAAGUCCGUUGUGAAAGUCAAAGGCUCAACCUUUGAAAGCCGAUGGAUACUGCAGGGCUAGAGUCCGGAAGAGGCGAGUGGAAUUCCUGGUGUAGCGGUGGAAUGCGCAGAUAUCAGGAGGAACACCAAUAGCGAAGGCAGCUCGCUGGGACGGUACUGACGCUGAGACGCGAAAGCGUGGGGAGCGAACAGGG